UACGUAGGGGGCAAGCGUUGUCCGGAUUUAUUGGGCGAAAAGAGCGUGUAGGCGGCCAGGUAGGUCCGUUGUGAAAACUGGAGGCUUAACCUCCAGCUGUCGAUGGAAACCAUCUGGCUAGAGUCCGGAAGAGGAGAGUGGAAUUCCUGGUGUAGCGGUGAAAUGCGCAGAUAUCAGGAAGAACACCCGUGGCGAAGGCGGCUCUCUGGGACGGUACUGACGCUGAGACGCGAAAGCGUGGGGAGCGAACAGG
rnacentral:rRNA from 1 species